UGGGUCUCAGUGUCUCAAAGGUUUAGAUUUCGAAUAAGCAUUUAUGCCUUAUGGUAUACACAUUCACUUCCAUAGAUUCCAAAAAAGCCAUAGCUUUAGUCUUCUUCUGAAAUAGUUAUCCUGUUUCCUAAUAAUUAUGAAAAAUUUGGAUGCACUAUCGGUUUUCGGUAUUAGAAAAAAAAAAAAAAAAGGGGGGUAGAGAUACAACUGAGACCAAAUUGAAAUAAGUAUUUUUUGAAUUCCAAAGGCAGAUAUAAUUCUUCUCGUAGCUAGCUAAUAUUCUUACAGGUUAUAAGUAGUAGGGGAGGGAGCAUCUUAUGUCUUGUCUUC
rnacentral:lncRNA from 1 species